UACAGAGGUCUCAAGCGUUUGUUCGGAUUCAUUGGGCGUAAAGGGUGCGUAGGUGGCGUGGUAAGUCGGGUGUGAAAUUUCGGAGCUUAACUCCGAAACUGCAUUCGAUACUGCCGUGCUUGAGGACUGGAGAGGAGACUGGAAUUUACGGUGUAGCAGUGAAAUGCGUAGAGAUCGUAAGGAAGACCAGUGGCGAAGGCGGGGUCUCUGGACAGUUCCUGACACUGAGGCACGAAGGCCAGGGGAGCAAACGGG
rnacentral:rRNA from 1 species